rnacentral:rRNA from 1 species
AUACGGAGGACGCGAGCGUUAUCCGGAUUCAUUGGGUUUAAAGGGUGCGCAGGCGGCCGUGCAAGUCAGCGGUGAAAGCCCGGGGCCCAACCCCGGAAGUGCCGUUGAUACUGCAUGGCUUGAAUGCGGUCGAGGCGGGCGGAACGUGGCGUGUAGCGGGGAAAAGCGUAGAUAUGCCACAGAACGCCGAUAGCGGAGGCAGCUCGCCAGGCCUGCAUUGACGCUCGGGCACGAAAGCGUGGGGAUCGAACAGGAUUAGAUACCCUGGUAGUCCACGCCGUAAACGAUGGGCGCUCGUCGUCGGCGGCAGACAGUCGGCGGCCAAGCGAAAGCGAUAAGCGCCCCACCUGGGGAGUACGGCCGCAAGGCUGAAACUUAAAGGAAUUGGCGGGG